rnacentral:lncRNA from 1 species
UUUUCUUCCAACGUUGCAAAUAUUAUUUAAUGCUCCAGCUUCAUCACCAUUGUCAGAGGUUGAUGUAGCUAACGUUGCUGAACUUCUGGUGGAUCUAACAAGGCCCAGUGGAUUGAAUCAACGUUUGCAGAACUGCCAGGGUCUGACAGUUCAUGAUAAUUUAGCACUAAAAAUAUGCAAUGAAAUUUUGACGGAUCCAAGUGCGCCAGAUGUCCGGAUAUACGCAAAAGCUCUCUGUUCCUUAGAAUUCAGUAAGGAUUUUACAAAUGACCUCAUGGAUUUAUUUGAGGAUAUUCUUGUGAAAGUAAAAGAUAAAAUGUCUUUAAAAAUGGUUGAAAAAGUGAAGAACAACUUAAGCAAAGGAAGCCCUAUUGAUGAACAUGUUUCAAAAGAAAAAGAUAUUGCAGAAGUAGCAGAAAACAAUUUGGACUGCAAUAAACCAUGUACAUCCACUGGCCAGAAUGAGGAAGGUGAUAAAAUAAUCACUCCUAUUGAAGACACAGAGAACACACCUGUAAAGUCAAGACCUAGAAGAAACAGAUCAACAAAAGGUCUGAGAAAAAUAGAAGUGCAAACUGACCAUCGAAGUGGGUGUUCCAGAACUAAAGGGUCUGAAAGUGACAGAGAAAUUCAGCAACCUGUUUCCAUGGCAUAUUCGAGACCAUCCCGCCGAAUCAAAACAACAGCUCUUGCAAAAACGAAAAUGGAUCUCUCCAAGCUUCUAGACAAAGAAUAAGUUAACCAAAUCUGUUUGUCACUAAAAUUUGCU